rnacentral:rRNA from 1 species
UACAGAGGGGCAAGCGUUAUUCGGAAUUAUUGGGCGUAAAGGGCGCGUAGGCGGCUUUGCAAGUGACGGGUGAAAUCCCUCGGCUUAACCGAGGAACUGCCUGUCAAACUGCAUGGCUUGAGACCAGAAGAGGUGAGUGGAAUUCCCAGUGUAGCGGUGAAAAUGCGUAGAUAUUGGGAGGAACACCAGUGGCGAAGGCGGCUCACUGGACUGGUACUGACGCUGAUGCGCGAAAGCGUGGGGAGCAACAGGGAUUAAGAAACCCAGU